rnacentral:rRNA from 1 species
GACAGAGGCCCCGAGCGUUAGGCGGAAUCACUGGGCUUAAAGCGCGUGUAGGCGGAGGGCUAAGUACCUUGUGAAAUCCCCCGGGCUCAACCCGGGAACUGCUCGGUAUACUGGCCUUCUUGAGGCAUCUAGGGGGCGAGCGGAACAAAACGGUGGAGCGGUGAAAUGCGUAGAUAUCGUUUUGGAACGCCAACGGAGAAAAUCAGCUCGCUGGGGGAUGUCCUGACGCUGAGGAGCGAAAAGCAU